rnacentral:rRNA from 1 species
GGGUUGUGAGGUUAAGCGACUAAGCGUACACGGUGGAUGCCCUGGCAGUCAGAGGCGAUGAAGGACGUGCUAAUCUGCGAUAAGCGUCGGUAAGGUGAUAUGAACCGUUAUAACCGGCGAUUUCCGAAUGGGGAAACCCAGUGUGUUUCGACACACUAUCAUUAACUGAAUCCAUAGGUUAAUGAGGCGAACCGGGGGAACUGAAACAUCUAAGUACCCCGAGGAAAAGAAAUCAACCGAGAUUCCCCCAGUAGCGGCGAGCGAACGGGGAGCAGCCCAGAGCCUGAAUCAGUGUGUGUGUUAGUGGAAGCGUCUGGAAAGGCGUGCGAUACAGGGUGACAGCCCCGUACACAAAAAUGCACAUGCUGUGAGCUCGAUGAGUAGGGCGGGACACGUGGUAUCCUGUCUGAAUAUGGGGGGACCAUCCUCCAAGGCUAAAUACUCCUGACUGACCGAUAGUGAACCAGUACCGUGAGGGAAAGGCGAAAAGAACCCCGGCGAGGGGAGUGAAAAAGAACCUGAAACCGUGUACGUACAAGCAGUGGGAGCACGCUUAGGCGUGUGACUGCGUACCUUUUGUAUAAUGGGUCAGCGACUUAUAUUCUGUAGCAAGGUUAACCGAAUAGGGGAGCCGAAGGGAAACCGAGUCUUAACUGGGCGUUAAGUUGCAGGGUAUAGACCCGAAACCCGGUGAUCUAGCCAUGGGCAGGUUGAAGGUUGGGUAACACUAACUGGAGGACCGAACCGACUAAUGUUGAAAAAUUAGCGGAUGACUUGUGGCUGGGGGUGAAAGGCCAAUCAAACCGGGAGAUAGCUGGUUCUCCCCGAAAGCUAUUUAGGUAGCGCCUCGUGAAUUCAUCUCCGGGGGUAGAGCACUGUUUCGGCAAGGGGGUCAUCCCGACUUACCAACCCGAUGCAAACUGCGAAUACCGGAGAAUGUUAUCACGGGAGACACACGGCGGGUGCUAACGUCCGUCGUGAAGAGGGAAACAACCCAGACCGCCAGCUAAGGUCCCAAAGUCAUGGUUAAGUGGGAAACGAUGUGGGAAGGCCCAGACAGCCAGGAUGUUGGCUUAGAAGCAGCCAUCAUUUAAAGAAAGCGUAAUAGCUCACUGGUCGAGUCGGCCUGCGCGGAAGAUGUAACGGGGCUAAACCAUGCACCGAAGCUGCGGCAGCGACGCUGAUGCGUUGUUGGGUAGGGGAGCGUUCUGUAAGCCUGCGAAGGUGUGCUGUGAGGCAUGCUGGAGGUAUCAGAAGUGCGAAUGCUGACAUAAGUAACGAUAAAGCGGGUGAAAAGCCCGCUCGCCGGAAGACCAAGGGUUCCUGUCCAACGUUAAUCGGGGCAGGGUGAGUCGACCCCUAAGGCGAGGCCGAAAGGCGUAGUCGAUGGGAAACAGGUUAAUAUUCCUGUACUUGGUGUUACUGCGAAGGGGGGACGGAGAAGGCUAUGUUGGCCGGGCGACGGUUGUCCCGGUUUAAGCGUGUAGGCUGGUUUUCCAGGCAAAUCCGGAAAAUCAAGGCUGAGGCGUGAUGACGAGGCACUACGGUGCUGAAGCAACAAAUGCCCUGCUUCCAGGAAAAGCCUCUAAGCAUCAGGUAACAUCAAAUCGUACCCCAAACCGACACAGGUGGUCAGGUAGAGAAUACCAAGGCGCUUGAGAGAACUCGGGUGAAGGAACUAGGCAAAAUGGUGCCGUAACUUCGGGAGAAGGCACGCUGAUAUGUAGGUGAAGUCCCUCGCGGAUGGAGCUGAAAUCAGUCGAAGAUACCAGCUGGCUGCAACUGUUUAUUAAAAACACAGCACUGUGCAAACACGAAAGUGGACGUAUACGGUGUGACGCCUGCCCGGUGCCGGAAGGUUAAUUGAUGGGGUCAGCGCAAGCGAAGCUCUUGAUCGAAGCCCCGGUAAACGGCGGCCGUAACUAUAACGGUCCUAAGGUAGCGAAAUUCCUUGUCGGGUAAGUUCCGACCUGCACGAAUGGCGUAAUGAUGGCCAGGCUGUCUCCACCCGAGACUCAGUGAAAUUGAACUCGCUGUGAAGAUGCAGUGUACCCGCGGCAAGACGGAAAGACCCCGUGAACCUUUACUAUAGCUUGACACUGAACAUUGAGCCUUGAUGUGUAGGAUAGGUGGGAGGCUUUGAAGUGUGGACGCCAGUCUGCAUGGAGCCGAC